GAAGGAGCCUUUCCUGUCCUUGAAGAGCUUCAUGUAAGUAGUUGUGCCAACCUAAAGAAGGUUGCCCUGCCUGGUUAUCUUCCUUGUUUAACGACACUGGAUGUUGAUAGUUGUCAGCAGCUUGCAGUUGCACUUCUAAGGGCUCCAGCUAUACUUAGAGUGAGUACUGUAGGCGUGACAUUGGAGAAACUGCCUUCUGGGUUGUACA
rnacentral:misc_RNA from 1 species